AUUGAACGCUGGCGGAAUGCUUUACACAUGCAAGUCGAACGGUAGAGGGGGCAACCCCUAGAGAGUGGCGAACGGGUGAGUAAUAUAUCGGAACGUGCCCAGUCGUGGGGGAUAACGUAGCGAAAGUUACGCUAAUACCGCAUACGAUCUACGGAUGAAAGCGGGGGAUCGCAAGACCCCGCGCGAUUGGAGCGGCCGAUAUCAGAUUAGGUAGUUGGUGGGGUAAAGGCUCACCAAGCCAACGAUCUGUAGCUGGUCGGAGAGGACGACCAGCCACACUGGAACUGAGACACGGUCCAGACUCCUACGGGAGGCAGCAGCGGGGAAUUUUGGACAAUGGACGCAAGUCUGAUCCAGCCAUUCCGCGUGCAGGAUGAAGGCCCUCGGGUUGUAAACUGCUUUUGUACGGAACGAAAAGGUCUCUCUUAAUACGGGGGACUCAUGACGGUACCGUAAGAAUAAGCACCGGCUAACUACGUGCCAGCCGCCGCAGUAA
rnacentral:rRNA from 1 species